UGCUGCUUAUGCGGUAAAACCUCUAC
rnacentral:piRNA from 1 species